AAAGAAGAGUAGCAUGUUAUUCAGAUUAUGAGGGUGAGCAGACCAUAUAUUCAUUCAGCCAAGAAUACUCAUUUAGCCAGUCACAACCAGGGGGUUCACAAGCUUCACAAACAAUAACUAGCCAAGCCUUACAGGACCUAGCAAUGGCUAGAAGGAUGCAAAGGAGAAAAUAGUUGAAAGUUGCUUUGUACCUGAUUAAUGGAAGGUGAUGAAGUUGAUUUUUUUUUGCUGCUGAUGGA